GACGAACGCUGGCGGCGUGCUUAACACAUGCAAGUCGAACGGUAAGGCCCUUCGGGGUACACGAGUGGCGAACGGGUGAGUAAUACGUGGGUGAUCUGCCCUGCACUUCGGGAUAAGCCUGGGAAACUGGGUCUAAUACCGGAUAGGACCACUGCCUGCAUGGGUGGUGGUGGAAAGCUUUUGCGGUGUGGGAUGGGCCCGCGGCCUAUCAGCUUGUUGGUGGGGUGAUGGCCUACCAAGGCGACGACGGGUAGCCGGCCUGAGAGGGUGACCGGCCACACUGGGACUGGGGUACGGCGCAGACUCCUACGGGAGGCAGCAGUGGGGAAUAUUGCACAAUGGGCGCAAGCCUGAUGCAGCGACGCCGCGUGAGGGAUGACGGCCUUCGGGUUGUAAACCUCUUUCAGCACCGACGAAGCGCAAGUGACGGUAGGUGCAGAAGAAGGACCGGCCAACUACGUGCCAGCCGCCGCAGUAA
rnacentral:rRNA from 1 species